GACGAACGCUGGCGGCGUGCUUAACACAUGCAAGUCGAACGGACAGGCCCUGCUUUUGUUGGGUGCUCGAGUGGCGAACGGGUGAGUAACACGUGAGUAACCUGCCCUUGACUUUGGGAUAUCUUCAGGAAACUGGGGCUCAUACCGGAUAGGAGCUCCUGCUGCAUGGUGGGGGUUGGAAAGUUUCGGCGGUUGGGGAUGGACUCGCGGCUUAUCAGCUUGUUUGUGGGGUAGUGGCUUACCAAGGCUUUGACGGGUAGCCUGCCUGAGAGGGUGACCGGCGACAUUGGGACUGAGAUACGGACCAGAAUCCUACGGGAGGCAGCAGGGGGGAAUAUUGCACAAUGGGCGGAAGCCUGAUGCAGCAACGCCGCGUGCGGGAUGACGGCCUUCGGGUUGUAAACAGAUUUCGCCUGUGACGAAGCGUGAGUGAAGGUAAUGGGUAAAGAAGAACCGGCUAACUACGUG
rnacentral:rRNA from 1 species